AAAGUGGGAAAAAUUUGCGGUGGUGGCUAGAAAUUGAUGGAAACGGUGGGGAAAACACACGAAUUGGACUCUAACAACACCUAACCAGCAACAAGACCUCAACAAGAACACAAACUCAACACUGCGGACUCUGAAACUGAAAUAUGCAAAGACUAUAGCGCGAAAGGGUUGUAGGACACGAAAACGAAAUAGCACUGGACUUAUGGUACGAACACAAGAACACUCGAAACUAAGGGUAGAUAUGAACUUAACGGUAUACCUAAAGCUUCGAUUACCACUUGAUGAGAACAAGGGUGACCAGAUCUUCCAAAAGGUUCUGGUAUCUCUCGAUUUGGUGCAGACAAGACACAAAUCGAUCCGGUUUCCGAACAACAUGAUAUGAAACCGUGCAACUUUUUUAUUUUUUUUUGAUAUUUUUCUUUUAGUUAGGAGCACCAAAGGAGUAACCAUAGAAAAUUUGAGCUUAAACAAGUGAAAGACAUGGCCUGCGGAAUUUUCUAAAGAUUGUGAAAAUGUGAAAAAAACUUCACGAGGUGAAAACUCAAACUUUGGAGGUAAAUUUUGAGGUUCUAAAAUUUUCAAACCCACCAAUGGAGGGGACAGACAGAUCCAAAGAAAUGUUUCAGACAGAGUUUGAUAUAUGAAACGUUGAAAUCGGAGUUCGUAUGUGAAAGUUAUGGCUAUUUUACGAACGGACUACGAAUUAGACGACAAAACAGUCUGAAAGUGGGAAAAAUCUGCGGCGUCGGCUAGAAAUUGAAGGAAAUAGUGGGGAAAAGCACACGAACUGGACUCUAACAAGACCUAACCAGCAACAAGACCUCGACCAGGACACAAACUCAACACUGCGGACUCUGAAACUGAAAUAUGCAAAGGCUAUGGCGCGCAAGGCUUGUAGGACAGGAAAACGAUAUGGUACUGGACUUAUGGGAUGAACACAAGAACACUCAAAACUAAGGGUAGAUGUGAACCUAAUGGUAUACCUAAAGCUUUGAUUACCACUUGAUGAGAACAAGGGUGGGCCGAUCUUCUGAAAGGUUCUAGUAACUCUCGAUUUGGUGGAGAUGAGACACAAAUCGAUCCGGCUUUCGAACAACAAGAUCCGAAACCCUGCAAUUUUUUUUAUUGUUUUGAUAUUUUUAUUUUAGUUAGGAGCACCAAAGGAGUAACCACAGAAAAAUUGAGCUUAAACAAGUGAAAGACAUGGCCUGCGGAAUUUUCUGGAAAUUGUGAAAAAUGUGAAAAAAACUUCACGAGGUGAAAACUCAAAUUUCGGAGGUUAAUUUGGAGGUUCUAAAAUUUUCAAACCCACCAAUGAGGGGACAGACAGUUUUUUUUGAUCAAUUUUGAUAUAUGGAAUGUUGAAAUCGGAGUUCAUAUGCGAAAGUUAUGGCUAUUUUACGAACGGCCUCAGAAUUAGAGGACAAAACGGUCCGAAAGUGGGAAAAAUUUGCGGCGGUGGCUAGAAUUUGAUGGAAAUGGUGGGAAAAAAUACAUGAACUGGACUCAAACAAGACCUAACCAGCAACAAGACCUCGACCAGGACACAAACUCAACACUGCGGACUCUGAAACUAAAAUAUGCAAAGGCUGUGGCGUGGAAGGGUUGUAGGACACGAAAACGAUAUGGCACUGGACUUAUGGGACGAACACAAGAACACUCAAAACUAAGGGUAGAUGUGAACCUAAUAAUAUACCUAAAGCUUUCAUUACCACUUGAUGAGACAAGGGUGGCCCGAUCUUCCGAAAGGUUCUGGUAACUCUCGAUUUGGUGGAGAUGAUACACAAAUCGAUCCGGCUUCCGAACAACACGAUCCGAAACCCUUCAAAUAUUAUUAUUUUUUUUGAUAUUUUCCUUUUAUUUAGGAGCACCAAACGAGUAAUCACAUAAAAUUUGACUUUUAAACAAGUGAAAGACAUGGCCUGUGGAUUUUUCUGAAGAUUGUGAAAAAUGUGAAAAAAACUUAACUGGGUGAAAACUCAAAAUUUGGUGGUGAAUUUAAAGGUUCUAAAUUUUUCAAACCCACCAAAAGCUAGGACACACAUAUCCGAAAUUUUUGUCUAAUUGAUUUUGAUAUAUGGAACGUUGAAAUCAGAGUUCGUAUGUGAAAGUUAUGGCUAUUUUACGAAUGGACUCCGAAUUAGAGGACAAAACGGUCUGAAAGUGGGAAAAAUUUGCGGUGGUGGCUAGAAAUUGAUGGAAACGGUAGGGAAAAAACACACGAACUGGACUCUAACAAGACCUAACCAGCAACAAGACCUUAACAAGAACACAAACUCAACACUGCGGACUCUGAAACUGAAAUAUGCAAAGGCUAUGGCGCGAAAGGGUUGUAGGACAGGAAAACGAUAUGGUACG
rnacentral:lncRNA from 1 species